UACGAAGGGUGCAAGCGUUACUCGGAAUUACUGGGCGUAAAGCGUGCGUAGGUGGUUUGUUAAGUCUGUUGUGAAAGCCCCGGGCUCAACCUGGGAAUUGCAUUCGAGACUGAAUAGCUAGGGUACGGUAGAGGGAAGUGGAAUUUCCGGUGUAGCGGUGAAAUGCGUAGAUAUCGGAAGGAACAUCAGUGGCGAAAGCGACUUCCUGGACCAGUACCGACGUUCAGGCACGAAAGCGUGGGGAGCAAACAGG
rnacentral:rRNA from 1 species